GGGGGGGGGGGGGGGCGGGGGGGGGGCGGGCGGGGCGGGGGGGGGGGCCCGGCGGGGGGGGGGUGCUCGAGGGGCGAGCGGGUGAGUAACACGUGAGUAGCCUGCCCUUGACUUGGGGAUAACUUCAGGAAACUGGGGCUAAUACCGGAUAGGAGCUCCUGCUGCAUGGUGGGGGUUGGAAAGUUUCGGCGGUUGGGGAUGGACUCGCGGCUUAUCAGCUUGUUGGUGGGGUAGUGGCUUACCAAGGCUUUGACGGGUAGCCGGCCUGAGAGGGUGACCGGCCACAUUGGGACUGAGAUACGGCCCAGACUCCUACGGGAGGCAGCAGUGGGGAAUAUUGCACAAUGGGCGGAAGCCUGAUGCAGCAACGCCGCGUGCGGGAUGACGGCCUUCGGGUUGUAAACCGCUUUCGCCUGUGACGAAGCGUGAGUGACGGUAAUGGGUAAAGAAGCACCGGCUAACUACGUG
rnacentral:rRNA from 1 species